GAAUACACUAAUUCAACAUCUGUAUGCAGUGACUUGAAAAGCCAAAAUUAUACUUCUAUAAAUAGCUCCCUUCUGCUUCUUCCAAUCUCCACUAAAUUAAUCACUAUUCCCUUAAAAAUUACUAGAGCUUUUUGGUCCAUUUGUAAGGAAGAUUAACUGUGAAAUGGAGAAAAAAAGCUGCUGUUCAGGAAGGAGCUGCUGCCCGUCAACUCGAGCAGUGAGGCCUGUGGCUACCCCAAAGGAAGAGCCAGGGGUGACGGUGAAAACACCGAAAGCUGAAGAUGUGAAACCUGAAAUAAUCACGGAAGUUGAAGGCCAUCACGCGACUGCUGCUGUCAAGGUUGAGAGAAAAGAGGCUGGAAAUGUUGCUGCUGUCAAGAAAGAGGAGGCUGUCAAGGUUAAUGUUGGCUGUGGAGGAGGUGCUUGCAACUAAAUUGGGUGCAUGUUUGGCAAAAAUUUAUAUUAAAUUUUAAGUACAUUUAUAAUAUUUAUGGGAGUUAUUAUGAUCUAUGAGUUAUAUCUGCUUUGAUCUUAAUAUAUGUGAAUUUAGGCUACCAGCUAUUCUCUGCUAAUCGUUUUCGAGUUCUGUUUAUCGC
rnacentral:lncRNA from 1 species